CUGAGAACCAACUCUCUUCUUUCUUAGGGUCAUCGGUCUUUGGCCUAAAGCCUGCUUUUGUAGAUUUUGGCUUUACUCCUACUCAAACAAGUCCAUUUGGAAGUAACACCCAACAAUCUCAAUCAACAUUUGGAAGCAGCAUAUUUCUGUUUCUCUUUGAUGCAGAUACUAGCAGGAAAUGCGAGAAAGGUGAGCGUUGUUCCGUUUGAAAGGCUUAAUAACGGUGACGAAAUGUUGGAGGCAAAAGAAGUAACACGAAUGUUCCUAAAAAUUGUAAAAAGGAAAUGGAACAGUGGUAAUGUAUUGUUUUCUGCAGUUGAAUGAGGUUUUGGUUCCUAAUCCAUUCAAUCUUGUAGCACACCAUUCACAUGACCAAUUUUAGAAGUCUAUUCGACAUAAAUCAUUCUGAGGAGUUGGAGAUUUGUCGUUAAGCUGUUAAACAAAGUUGCGGUCAUCUGAAAACUACUUUGGAGGACUGGAGUAAAUUGUUUUGAAUUAUUAAAUCAAUUCAUUGUGGGACUAAACUAAAAACAAGAUGUAUCAAAGGGAGCUGUACACAAGGAGCAUUCUGGAUUUGAGGGCCCAUGGACUUCUAAUCCUCUCAUUUUUGACAACUCAUACUUCACACUUAAUCGCCUGCUGCCGAUGAUGUUCAUGGCUCAUCAUGGAGUCCUUCUCACAUCGGCGAUGGUUCUGCAGCUUCUGCUAGACAACCCUAUGACACUACAUCGACUUCAGAGGGAACCGAUUCUAUAACUAGGCCAGCUUCAAAUUAUUCCUUUGAUUUCUUUGAUUUCUAUGUUGCUUUAUAAUUCCUUCUCUUUGUUUUGGGGCGUCGUUGCUUCUGUUGGUUCUCGCAAUAUGGUUGUGGUGUCUGCUAUAUAAACAUGGCGGUUUGUGCGUAGUGGCUGAUUUCAUCGAAUUUGUAGAGGUGAUAUGGCAGCAGAAAAAGCGACCAUCACCCAAACUCUAACAUCAGGAUGAUUUUAUAACAGUUUCUCCCAAUUCUUGAUAAAAAAAACAAAAGCAACUUUUCUGCCGUUGGCAUGUAUAUUAGAGUUGAUGAUAGAUAAUG